rnacentral:lncRNA from 1 species
AUCGUAAUAGCCACAGGUUCCUUUGGUCUACUUUUGUGUACAACAAACCUUAAAGGAAGAUGGCUGAAGACAGGCUAGCCAGGUACAAGCUCCACUUAGGAUAUGCAGUGUCUGAAACGGCUCCGAGGGUAAAUAUAAAAAAGGGACUUUCUAAAUACUAUUUAAGUACUUAUAAGGCAAAUACUGUGUUUGAAUUCUCCUUAAAGGCGUGGCUAGUAAUCAAUGGACUACGUUUCCCAUAGCUCCUGUGGCAGCUUCUCUGCAUUUCCUAGAAGGCUGUUCGCCCUUUGCUCUGGCCCUGAUCAUCCGUGGGAAGAAAAAAUGGCAAUGUAUUCGUCAGCAUUGUUUAAGUCAAAUAUCGUCUUUUGUCCUUUAUCGUUCCCCUAAUCUGGCUUCUGCUCCUUCGCUCGCUGGCUUGCAGAGCCCAAAUAAUCUGAGAAUAGUCUCUGUGGCAACUACAACGGUUUCUAGGGCUACUCGGAGAAGCAGGAGGCUGUCCAUGCCGAAGCAUUCUGGGAGUUGUAGUUCUGGUUCCUUUCCAGGCAACGGCUUGUCUUGCUCUGCCUCCUCCCACACCAGAAGUGAGCAUCAGGUGGUGGCGAGCGCGUAGACAGGGUGAAAGGUGUGAGGGUUAGCGACAGAUCUGCGUAUUCACCUUGCUGGUCACCGGCCACCACCACCUCGGCGCCAAUGAAUUUUCUGUCGCGAGCCCCGCUAACGGCUUGCCGCUGAAAACUCUGGGAAAUGUAGUUAGGCGCGAGCAAGCUGUCGUUAGUUGCAGGUCUGAGGCGGGAACCGGGGCUCCUCAUGUGUUCGCGGCUCGGUUCAGCCUUCCACGAGCUCCUGAAGUUCUGCCAUUCCCCGUGGUCUGCAGUUCAGGAAGCUUCUGGAACAUGCGGCGCCUCUGCCAUGGAAACACGAUCCGCGUCGUCAGCUUCAGAUGUGAUCUUGGAACGCUGAGUUCGCCUUGGCAGCUGUCUGAAAGUUAAUCCUGUGAAGGGACCUGAAGCAGCCCUCUGAGGAAGCCUCGCGCACCCCUGCCGAAGAACAUCGCAGUGUGUUCAUUCCCCUUCCGUUGGCCUCAGGAUCCAAGCAGGAAAGAAGAGGGAAGAACUCUGAAGGACAUGAGAGGGACCCAGCUUACAGUCCAGACAAUAUUUGAAAGUGUCUUUUGCAUUCUCCACGGAGUCUUCAAGUGCUGCAACACUGAGGGAAGGGCCGUGCCUAGUAGCUGUGUGUCACUAUGGACUCUGUGGUAUAGGAGAUGGGCUCUGGCCAGUUGCCUUUGAAGAUGAACUUCGUUUCCAGAUAGUUUUCACACAGGGCGGUAGGAGAUUUCUUACUGCUACACCUUCCACCCUAGCCCUGACCCUCGCCACCAGGCCGCCCAGCCAUAUUAGCUCAGAAGAUCCAUAAAGGGGCUGGAGCCCCAGUCCCCUCCCCUCUGCUUGAAGAUGUUAUUAAUUAGAGUUGUGCUAGGAUGCAGGAAUGACCUUGGGAAGGGGCACUUGGUGACUAAGCAAGAAUGGGCACGGGUGUGCUGACUCACCACACCCAGCUUGCAGGGGAGGCUGACUGAGGACCACCCUCAGGGUGACCUUGGAGGUCUGCAGGCUCAGCUCCCGCAUUGCCUAGUCCUAUACCUGUCGGGGAAAUGGUAACUUCGGAACUUAGUAGGCAGACAGUUUCUGGAGGUAACAUAGAGACAUGAAGGGGUACACUGAGCUGGUCCCCAAGGGGGCCCCAGGUGAAGGUCACAGCCCUUCCUUUUCGCCUACGGCUGAGUUCUGGGUCCCACCAAGAAUAGAACUCCCCUUCCUCGUUGGCUAUGAAAAUGUCUUAAUGUCUCUAAAUCCCAAGUUGCCUUAUGGCCACAGCCCUGCUUCCAACCUUCUUCUAAAGCAAGUACGUUAAGAGAUGGAGAUGUCGCUCAAUUGGUAAGGUGCUUGCCUAGCGUGCACAGAGAAGCCCUGGCUCCCUUUUGCAAUUCUUCAGAAACCAGGUGUGGUGGUGCAUUCUUGUAAUCCCAGUACUUGGGAACAUGUGGGCAGGCCGCAUCGGGAUCUGUUGUCUCCAGUGUACCGGACGCUGGCUGGAAAUUAGUUGCUAGGAUGUAAUCUGUGCUGAGUCUCUAGGACAGUGUCUCCAGUCGGACCUAGAAUGACUGUCCUGAGCCACAUUCAACAAGAAAUAGCACAAAGGGGUAGAAGAGACAGAGGUGGAGAAAGUGCAGGUUCUGAAGGGACAGAUGAAAGGUAAUCCAGGUUCAUUCUAAAGUGGGCAGGGCUUCCAGGGGCCUUCUCAAGACAUCAGUCUAGAGACCUGUAAAGAUCUACACCCUUGCUGAUCUUGGCAGCACACACCUGUAACCCCAGCAAGGCAGGGCACCCAAGAGUUCAAAGUCAUCCUUGGCUACAAAGUGAGUGUGAGACUAGCCUGGGUAUCAUAGUUGAAGUCCUUCCUCAAAACAAACAAACAAACAAAAGCUGUUUAGGCCCCGGGCUGUGUUUCUCAUUGCCCUACUCCCUGGUCUGAGGUUAUCGGCAGGGCUCCCAGCUGUUGAGCCAGCUGUGUCUUCAUUGAGGUCCCUGACUGGCAUUCUGUCAUCCCCCAUCUGUGUGAGAGGAUCUCUUUUUGGGUUUUUUGUUUGGUUGGUUGGUUGGUUUGGUUUGGUUUUUUGAGACAGGGUUUCUCUGUGUAGCCCUGGCUGUCCUGGAACUCACUUUGUAGACCAGGCUGGUCUCGAACUCAGAGAUCCACUUGCCUCUGCCUCCCAAGUGCUGGGAUUAAAGGCGUUCGCCACCACGCCAGGCGAGAGGAUCUCUUAAGUGUACCUAAUUUGCAAGUGCUCACAGUGACCUGUGGGUCCCAGGCAGCGACUCAUUGAAUCUUCUCAACAAGCUUUGAAAUAAGUCUUUUGUGGCCUCCUGUUACAACUGAGGGAGAUAGAUGUAGAGAGCUUCCCUCAGCUCUCUGAUCCACGCAACUCCUGAGUGGAGGAGCCAGGACUCAAAUCUGUAUCUUCCCUGCAUCCAUGACCUAAAAAGUCCUAGUGUUGGGUUGCAGGAGUUUCACUUACAUUUGCUAGGAUAAGCAGCCCGAUUUCUGGACUCUGUGGCCCUUUAAAAAUCCUGCUGCUUCUACAAUCUCUUCUUUAGCCUGCCCAAACCUAUCUAAUGCUUUACAGGAACAUGUGUGCCCGUGAGAGACAUGAGCUAAGGCAAUGAGAAGCUGUGACGCAGAUUCUGACACCAGCCCUCAGUACAUACCUUGUGCACCCCACAUGGUAUAAGGAGCUGGGUCUAGGUGCUAAGGCCAGCAGCUCACGGGCAAAGUGAGUCUCAGCCUGUAAAGAGAACAAGGCAGAUGUGCCUCCAGAGAGAAAAAAAGAACACAUGGAGAUGAAAUCCGGGCUUGGGGGCAAAGAGGAACCGUUUAAAUGUGUGUGUGCCUUGUGAAAGAAUUACACUCCCCGCCCCACCAUCACCAGAUGUGAUGACAGUACUUACAUAAGGUACUGUAUGUAGAUUGAACUCUGGACCUCACACAUUCUGGAAAGGGCUCUCCCACUAAGCCACAUCCCCAGCCCCUCACUGGGAUUCUGGGCAGGCGCUCUACUGCUGAGUCACGUCCCCAACUCUCUUUUGACUUAAUUUUGAGACUAGGUCUUACUGAGUUGCCUAGGCUGGCCUGAAUCUCACUCUGUAGCCCAGGCUGGCCUUGGACUCACAUUUUUCCCCCUGCUUAGCCUGCUGAGCCCCUGGGAUCAUAGACUUGCCUAGUUAUACCCAUUUGCUGCUGCAGCUAAUACCUUUAAACCAGUCUCCCCCCACCCCAGAAAACCUUCCUAGCUUAGUAUUAUCUUAAAUUCAGUGAAGAGAACAGCAGCUUUUCCCUGUUCCUCCACAUGAGGGCGCUACACCACUCAGCCAUGGGGUGAUGUGUUCAAGCCUCUCCCACAACCUUUAUGGGUGCAUUUCUUUUCUGUGUAUUCUCUAAUGAGAAGCACUGGGCCACCUCUGCAUGGUUUUUCUUGCCAAUUUCUCUUGUAGCCCUCUCUCCCAGCAGACAACCACAUUCAGCACACCCCUCACUUGUGCACUGCCAUGGCCGUCCGUUCCUUGUGACCAGCCAGAUGACUUAGAUAAUAGGGGAGUUUGAAAUGAAUGAGCUGAUACUAUCUGUAGGUUAGGAUUCUGACCAAAAGGUCUUCAGGGCUCUAGGGGAAGGGAUUAAUUGAAAUACCUUCCCGAGCAUAGGGCUUUUCUCCAGUGUGAAUUCUCUGACGUUGAAUGAGUUUCAUGAAUCUUGAAAGCCAUCACGUGGUCACUGUUGUUGGUAGAUUUCUGUUGUGCAAAAGUAGCCAGGGUGCUUGGAUGCUGGCUGCCUCCUCCCACACCCUCGGGACACUCUCAGGUGAAUGUUGGAGCAGUGUUAGGAAACUGCUUUGUGUUCCUAACAGUCGAUAUUGGUUCCUGCUGUUACAACUGUUACAAUGUUAAAUAAAUAAACUUGAUCCAGAC